rnacentral:lncRNA from 1 species
AUUGCACAGCAGCUCCCGAGCUGCAGGGAGAGUGGGAGUGCACGGCACCAAACUGCGCCUCUUGGGGUGUUGCAGAGGAUUUGUUAACAAAUAUUUUCCUCUCCUUUAUUCUAGGCUCUGGAAGAACUGUGCCUCACCUCCGUCUCUCUGCCUCUGUCGGCUCCCUCUACUCCCCAGGCCUUGCUGUCAGCACCUGCAACAGAGCUGUCCCUGCUGUGGUCUGGGGAAAGUUCCAGCCAGGCCCUCUGUGGCGCAUCUAGCCCUGGGGUGGGGCAUCCAGGGUAUUGAAUCUACAAAAAUGCAUCCAUUUCACCUCCAAGUUUGCUCUGUGCACACCAAGCUGUGUGCAGGAUAGGCUACCCUAGAGAGCUGGGUACCCACGCAGCCUUCCACAAAGCCCCACCUACAUGGCUGCUGUAGGUUCUCAUCAUCCUGUGCUCACUGGGAAGGCUGGCAGAUCCACACCGGAGACCAUGGGCUGGCGAGAAGCAGGGCCUUGGUGCUAGAGAGACUUGCCCAAGCAUUCUUCUGCAAGCUCCGAGACAGAGGAGUGAGCAAGCCUCAGGGGCGUGAAGGUGCUCAGGAGAGAGCAGGACACACGCAGAACCUGGAGAGAGCCAGAGGAGGGACUGGCCGCAGAGAAGCCCAUCGCCUGCCAGCGCUGACGUGGACAUUGGGACAAGGUUUCUGCUGCUGGCCCAGCCCUGCAGAUUCCUCACUCCCAUGCCUCGGCCUGAGAAUCCUGGAAACAGAAGGCUGGACCUGCACCUGCCAGGUGGCCAUGGCCUCGGUGUGGGAGCAACAUGGGGAGACCUGGGUCCCUGAGUGGCCAUGACCAUCGACCUAGAACAAUCAGCUCAGGACUGUUAUGUGGGAGCAACAAUCAUCCAGCUCCUUCAAGCUGCUGCAUCCAAGGGUCUCUUCAUUCCAUUAUGGAUAUAGCCUAAGAAAUGGUGACAGUAAAGGGUCUCAUACAACAUGUCCCAUUUUUAUUAAUUUUAAUAAAUAAGGGAAAUUGAAUAUA